rnacentral:lncRNA from 1 species
GGAUUGGGAUAUUCCGACUCCUUAAGGGCCUGGCGCACAUAAGGUGUGACCUUUUCAUUCCCGUUGUUAUGGAGGGCCACAUCUGCCAGAGCCUGGAGUCUGCGAAGGCCGGGACCCGGUUCCCCGGCCCACAGUGGGGGUGUGCAAACCCGAGAGAACUGGUCGCUGAAACCUCUACAACUUAGUUGACCGUAACUGCCAGAGCCCUGCCCUGAAUUCCUGUCCUUACUCCCUCUUUAAGAUUGCGUACCCACUGCAGAGUGCUGAAGACGGGGUAGCCACGAGGUUGCAAAUUCGUGAAGAAUCAGCAUCAUGUUUGGCAGCUGAGUAUUGGAGCCAGGAGCCUGCCAUGAGGUUAUAUUCCCAGAGGAUGUCAGUCCCAAGGACCAGUAGCUGCCAUCAGUUUGGAUUCUGAAAACUAACUGGCAUCAACACUGGGUGUAGAAACAUGCUUGCCUUAUGUAUCAGAGGACAUGCUCAGCAGAUCCAAGAGAUAUAUUUGGCAACUUUUUCUAGAAAAGGCACAUUGGGUAUCAUUCAUUACAUUCUUGAGUUUUUUUGGGUUUUUUUUUUUUUUUUUGAGACAGUCUUGCUGUAUUGCCCAGGCUGGAGUGUGGUGGCACAAUCACAGCUCAUUGCAUCCUCAAUCACCCAGGCCUAAGCAAUCCUCCCACCUUGUAGCUGGGACUACAGCUCACAGCACACCUGGCUAAAAUUUUUUUUUUGUUGAGACGGAUUCUCUAUGUUGCCCAGGCUGGUCUCAGGCUCCUGGGCUCAGAUGGUCCUCCUGCCUCAGCUUCCAAAGGCACAGGCCAAGUUGUAGCUUUGUCCCUUGCCAUCAUGCCCAACAAGAGGUUCUAUACCUUUUAAUGAAUUGACUUUCAUAAAUUGGUUAUGUUGGUGGGCAAAGUUCUUUAAGCUGGAAAUUGUAAAUUCCUCCUGAAAUGUUUUUUCAUGCAGUUACCAUGAACUAAUACUACAAUAAAGGAUGGUCUUGGGUGUCAAUUCUUGAAAA